UACGUAGGUGACCAGCGUUGUCCGGAUUUACUGGGCGUAAAGAGCGCGCAGGCGGUCGUUCAAGUCGAGUGUGAAAGCCCCCGGCUCAACUGGGGAGGGUCAUUCGAUACUGAUCGACUGGAAGGCAGGAGAGGGAAGCGGAAUUCCCGGUGUAGUGGUGAAAUGCGUAGAUAUCGGGAGGAACACCAGUGGCGAAGGCGGCUUCCUGGCCCCAGCACCGACGUCAGGCACGAAAGCGUGGGGAGCAAACAGG
rnacentral:rRNA from 1 species